rnacentral:lncRNA from 1 species
CUCUCUUUUAAAAAAUCAGCCAUUUGGGGUUUUAAGCCAUAAACGAUUUUUCUUGUUGCAGGGGAUUGCAGAGGCAAAGCUAGACUAGGUCUUGGAGGCUGGUGUAAGGCGGUGCGCGGAAGGCAGGACGCUGAUGGGAGAGACUGGUCGAAGAAAAGCCGAAAUGGAUUCUCCGUGCUUUGGAUGGAGAAAGAGGGGGGAAGUGCGAGCUCCUUCAACUCGUUCUGUCCGGUGAGGAGUGAUCCAGCUUGGGCUGACGAGAGGCUCCGGAGCCUUCACGUUCAGUGCUUUUUACCUGCCAAUCAAACUGCUACAAGACAACACCCUGAUCUGGCAUGGUCGCAUCGAACCUAGAAAUUGUACUUUCCUCAAGAUCCGCUUAAGAGAAUCUGGCUGAUGGCUUUGGUCUGAGAGUUCAGACAUCUCUUGUGCAACUAAGAAAGACCUCAUUUUCCAUUUGCUGGAUCCUCCUGGUUUGUCAUCCCUGAGGCCUGUAAGAAGCCCAUCAGGAGGUCCCCUGCGCUGGAAGGACCAUGUCUUUUGUCUACACACAUGACUGUGUACCAUGUGCAUGCCUGGUGUUUAUGGAAGUCAGAAGAGGGCAUGGGAUUCCCUGGGACUUCAGUUACACACAGGCAUGAUGGCAUGGUGGAAUAUUCCUUGAAUCAUAGCACUCCUGAGGUGGAGGGCAGACAGAUCUCUAUGAGUUUAAGGCAAGUCCCGUCUAUGCAGUGAGUUCGAGGACAGCACAGUUGCACAGUAGAAUC